CGCCACAUUGGGACUGAGACACGGCCCAAACUCCUUUAGGAGGCAGCAGUGGGGAAUUUUGGACAAUGGGGGCAACUCUGAUCCAGCCAUGCCGCGUGUAUGAAUAACGCCUUCGGGUUGUAAAGUACUUUUGUCGGGGAAGAAAAGGUUAGUGUUAAUACCACUGACUGAUGACGGUACCCGAAGAAUAAGCACCGGCUAACUACGUGCCAGCAGCCGCGGUAAUACGUAGGGUGCAAGCGUUAAUCGGAAUUACUGGGCGUAAAGCGGGCGCAGACGGUUACAUAAGUCAGGUGUGAAAUCCCCGAGCUCAACUUGGGAAUGGCGCUUGUAUCUGUGUAGCUAGAGUGUGUCAUAGGGAGGUAGAAUUCCGCGUGUAGCAGUGAAAUGCGUAGAGAUGCGGAGGAAUACCGAUGGCGAAGGCAGCCUCCUGGGAUAACACUGACGUUCAUGCCCGAAAGCGUGGGUAGCAAACAGGAUUAGAUACCCUGGCAUUCCACGCCCUAAACGAUGACAAUUAGCUGUUGGUGUGCUUGC
rnacentral:rRNA from 1 species